GGCGACACCAACAGGAUGAGAAAAAUGCAGAGGCAAUGUUUCGAUUUCCUGAAGGCAAAGGAGAAAAAAAAUUGAGAAAUAAGCAGCAUGGUCCAAGACAUUUAAGACAGACACUGGAGUUGGGUAUCGUAUGUGCAAUGCUGUUAAGAGACCGACUGCUGUAAGACACACACACGUAAGUCAGCUUCUUU
rnacentral:lncRNA from 1 species